UACGUAGGGACCGAGCGUUGUCCGGAUUCAUUGGGCGUAAAGCGCUCGUAGGCGGCUGUUCAAGUCGCACGUGAAAACUCGGAGCUCAACUCCGAGCCUGCGUUCGAUACUGGACGGCUAGAGUCUGGUAGGGGGAUCUGGAAUUCCUGGUGUAGCGGUGGAAUGCGCAGAUAUCAGGAGGAACACCGGUGGCGAAGGCGGGUCUCUGGGCAGUAACUGACGCUGAGGAGCGAAAGCGUGGGGAGCGAACAGG
rnacentral:rRNA from 1 species